rnacentral:rRNA from 1 species
AUUACCCAAUCCCGACACGGGGAGGUAGUGACAAAAAAUAACAAUACAGGGCUCUUCGAGUCUUGUAAUUGGAAUGAGUACAAUUUAAAUGUCUUAACGAGGAACAAUUGGAGGGCAAGUCUGGUGCCAGCAGCCGCGGUAAUUCCAGCUCCAAUAGCGUAUACUAAAGUUGUUGCAGUUAAAAAGCUCGUAGUUGGAUUUCGGGUCGGCUCGGUCGGUCAGCCGAAAGGUGUGUCACUGGCCGCGCUGUCCUUCUUCGCCAAGACUGCGCGUGCUCUUAACUGAGUGAGCGUAGGAUUUGCGACGUUUACUUUGAAAAAAUUAGAGUGUUCAAAGCAGGCUCGCGCUUGAAUACAUAAGCAUGGAAUAAUGGAAUAGGACUUUGGUUCUAUUUUNGAUUGGUUUGUAGGACCGAAGUUAAUGAUUAAUAGGGACAGUUNGGGGCAUUCGUAUUUCGUUGUCAGAGGUGAAAUUCUUGGAUUUACGAAAGACGAACUAAUGCGAAAGCAUUUGCCAAGAAUGUUUUCAUUAAUCAAGAACGAAAGUUAGAGGAUCGAAGACGAUCAGAUACCGUCCUAGUUCUAACCAUAAACGAUGCCGACUAGGGAUCGGCGGGUGUUAUUGUAUGACCCCGUCGGCACCUUAUGGGAAACC